AUGGCGGACCAUGCGGCGGCGGCGGCGCCCAUGACCAUCGACUUCCUCCGCGCGCGCCUGCUCUCCGAGCGCUCCGUCUCACGGGCCUCCAAGGAGCGCGCCGACCAGCUCGCCGCCAGGGUCGCGGAGCUGGAGGAGCAGGUCCGGGCGGUGACGGCGCAGCGGCGGCAAGCGGAGCGGGAGGCCGCGGAGGUGCUGGCCGUCCUGGAGUCCCGGGGCUUCUGCGGCAGCCUCUCGGACGUACUCGACUCGGGCUCCGACGACGACGCGGACGAGGAGGAGCUGGACGAGCCACGCGACGCCACGGUCACCACCGGCGACCCUGCGCCCCGCUCCCACGGCGAGGAGGGACAGGAGCAGGAGCAGCCGCCGGCGAAGGGCGGAACGAAGGAGGAGGACGAGGACGCGACUUCCGGGACGGCCCUGCAGCCGGGCGGGCUGUCGUGGAAAGGCCGGUGCGCGAGCCCGCGGAGGGCCAGGCAGCUCAAGCAGCGGCACCGCCGGAGCUACGUCUACUUCCUGGCCUCGCAGUCGGACCCCUCGCCCAAGUACCGGAUGGGCCAGUCCUGCCGGAAGAACAAGCGCAAGGAGCUCAGUAGCAUUGCAGCACUGACAGAGAGUCGGAAGGAACAGCGAGAUGGACCACGCUGCACCGAUGAUGAUGGCCGGACCAAGUUUGACGGCGAGGUGGGCGGAGACGACCAGCGGAGCUCGGGCGACGGUGGUGGUCAGUACGUGAUGAGGCGCGACGAUGAUGAUGGGGAGAUGGAGAGGGUGCUGGAGAAGCAGGCCGAGCUGAUCGGGCAGUAUGAGGCCGAGGAGAAGGCUCAGACGGACUGGGAGAAGAAAUUCAACGACACCCGGAGUUCACCCAACAAGGGUGACGCUGAGGCAGAUUGCAAGGUACCGGCGAGAUCAGGUGGUGAUAAAAAACUCCUCGUUUCCAGACCACCCAAGAACGCAUCAGAGGAAAUGGGGCGGACCGCUGCCGUUUCAGCACAAGGAAGCUCCAGCUACAGCACGGCCACAAGAAGAAGCCAAGACCAGCAAGGAGACGCAAACUCAGACGGCUGCUCGAGCCGAUACGCCAACUCCGCGUCUUCCGGGAUCUGCGCCGUCAAGGCGCCAUCGGAGUCGAGCCCGUCGGUCAGCAAGGUGUCGGACUGGAGCUCGUCACGCUUCCACGACCACGCGGACGACACACGGUCAUGUCGACAGUCGAGCGGCGACAUCGACGUGGAGAGCGUCCUCCAGGCCCUGCAGCGCGCCAGGAUCUCCCUGAGGCAGAAGCUGGACCGGCCGCUCCCGCCCAGCCAGGUGACGCUGGCGCUCCCGGCGCCGGGCGAUGAGUACCGUGCGGACCUCUACGACGACGACGGCAACAGUUCGUACAGGGAAGAACACAGUGGCUCAAGUCCGUCCCGGCAGGAAAUACUGGCGCUGGGAGCACCGGAGGACUACCAUGGCUACCAUGACUAUGGAAGAGAGGAAAGCCUUUGGGUCGAUGGCGCCAAUGCUUCGCUCAUGGAGAAGCCGAGCGGUUCAAGCCCUCCUCGGCAGGAGAUCCUGGCUCUCCCGGCCCCGGGCGACGAUCGCGUCCCCGACGACAUUCAGGGCGACGUGAAGAUCCCUGUCAGCAGCCCGGGCCUGUUCCGGCUGCCGACAGAUUCAUUCCCAAAGGACAAGGGGCUGUCAAGAAGCAAUGGCCAUGAUUUUGAGCUCGGACAUGACACAUACAAAGAUGAUGAAGCUGGGGUUUCAGCGAGGCAGUUGUAUGACCCGCACGGUUCCGCGGCUACUUCUGGUAGGUGCGGCGUUCCAGCAAGCUCAGGCUUCACGGUAGGGGGCGCUUCGGUCCUCUCUGGGAUCCCAGGACUCCCGGAAGACCUGAGAAAGGGUGGCGGCCCUCUCCGGGAUGCGGACCUGUUCAUGCAGCCGCGGCUGCGAGUGCAUCAUUUCUAA
rnacentral:rRNA from 1 species